UCUGUCUCCAUUUCAGAGGUAAAGGGUUACUGGAGCUCAUAGCAUCAGGCCAGACCUUAAGGAUAUUUUUGUCCUGAUCACUAAAUCAAACCUGAAUAUCCUAAAACAUUUUAUGCAUUACAGAUCUGAGAGUGACACAUGUUGAGACAACGGCCUAGCAUCUUUAACAUAACGCUACAAAGUAGCUGCAGUUCCUUUGGUGAUAGCAGGAGUGGAGGUGCCAGCAGAGACAUGAUGAUGGUGGUUUAGCCGCUGGAACAACACAGGAUAUCACAGGGUGUGAAGAAUAAAAUCAAAAUGGACAAAUGCA
rnacentral:lncRNA from 1 species